rnacentral:rRNA from 1 species
CGGUGGAUCACUCGGCUCGUGUGUCGAUGAAGAGCGCAGCCAACUGUGUGAAUUCUUGUGAAUCGCAGACUGCUUUGAACAUCGACAUCUUGAACGCACAUUGCGGCCACAGGCUUGCCUGUGGCCACGUCUGACCGAGGGUCGGCU